GGGUCAGUAGGUUGGUCGUGCCACCGGUACGUACUGGUCUCAAUGAUUCCUCCUUCCUGAAGAACCGUAAUGCCAUUAAUUUGGUGUUGCGGGGAAACAGGACUGUUACUUUGAAAAAAUUAGAGUGUUUAAAGCAAGCUAACGAUUGAAUACAUUAGCAUGGAAUAAUGAAAUAGGACGAUCGAUCCUAUUUUGUUGGUUUCUAGGAUUGACGUA
rnacentral:rRNA from 1 species